UGGGGAAUUGUUCGCAAUGGGCGCAAGCCUGACGACGCAACGCCGCGUGGAGGAUGAAGGUCUUCGGAUUGUAAACUCCUGUUGCUCGGGACGAAAAGCUCUGACCUAACACGUCGGAGUCUGACGGUACCGAGUGAGGAAGCCCCGGCUAACUCUGUGCCAGCAGCCGCGGUAAUACAGAGGGGGCUAGCGUUGUUCGGAAUUACUGGGCGUAAAGGGCGCGUAGGCGGCCCUCUAAGUCGAACGUGAAAUCCCCGGGCUCAACCCGGGAACUGCGUCCGAUACUGGAGGGCUCGAAUCCGGGAGAGGGAUGUGGAAUUCCAGGUGUAGCGGUGAAAUGCGUAGAUAUCUGGAGGAACACCGGGUGGCGAAGGCGGCAUCCUGGACCGGUAUUGACGCUGAGGCGCGAAAGCCAGGGGAGCAAACGGGAUUAGAUACCCCGGUAGUCCUGGCCCUAAACGAUGAAUGCUUGGUGUGGCGGGUAUCGAUCCCUGCCGUGCCGAAGUUAACGCAUUAAG
rnacentral:rRNA from 1 species